rnacentral:rRNA from 1 species
GUUCGUAACGGCUCAGAUUGAACGCUGGCGGGAUGCUUUACACAUGCAAGUCGAACAGCAGCACAGUUCGGUCUGGUGGCGAGUGGCGAACGGGUGAGUAAUGUCGGAACGUGCCUAGUAGCGAGGAAUCGCCACGCCAGCGUAGCUAAUACAUACGCCUUGUCGGGGAAAGCGGGGGGACCUUCGGGCCUCACUAUUAGAGCGGCCGAUAUCGGAUUAGCUAGUUGGUGGGGUAACGAAAGCUCUCACCAAGGCAGCGACGAUCCAUCGGAUUUGAGAGGACGACCAGCCACACUGGGACUGAGACGGCGAACUCCUACAGGAGGCCGCAGUGAAAUUUUGGACAAUGGGGGAAACCCUGAUCAGCCAUCCCGCGUGUGCGAUGAAGGCCUUCCGGGUUGGCAAACACUUUGGCAGGAAAGAAACGGCACGGGAUAAUACCCGUGCAAUGACAGUACCUGCAGGAGAUGACACCGGCUAGCUACCCGUGCCAGCGGCCGCGAUGUGCGGCGUAGGGUGCAAGCGUUAAUCGGAAUUACUGGGCGUAAAGCGUGCGCAGGCGGUUCCGAAGAAAGAUGUGAAAUCCCAGAGCUUAACUUUGGAACUGCGUUUUCGCUACGACUGAAAUUGUGUCAGAGAAUUAAUUCCGCGUGUAGCAGUGAAAUGCGUAGAUAUGCUGGAGGAACACCGAUGGCGAGCUCAGCCUCCUGGGGAUAUGACGCUCGCUUGCACGAAAAGCGUUGGGGCAAACAGGAUUAGAUACCCUGGUAGUCCACGCCUAAACGAUGUCAACUAGCUGUUGAGCCUUCGGGCCUUACAGCGCCUGGCUAACGGCGUGAAGUUGACCGCCUGGGGAGUACGGUCGCAAGAUUAAAACUCAAAGGAAUUGACAGGGACCCGCACAAGCGGUGGAUGAUGUGGAUUAAUUCGAUGCAACAUGAAAAACCUUACCUGCCCUUGACAUGUCUGGAAUCCGAAGAGAUUUGGGAGUGCUCACGCAAGAGAGCCGGAACACAGGUGCUGCGUAGCUGUCGUCAGCUCGUGUCGUGAGAUGUUGGGUUAAGUCCACAACGAGCGCAACCCUUGUCAUUAGUUGCUACGAAAGGGCACUCUAAUGAGACUGCCGGUGACAAACCGGAGGAAGGGAUGACGUCAAGUCCUCAUGGCCCUUAUGGGUAGGGCUUCACACGUCAUACAAUGGUCGGGACAGAGGGUCGCCAACCCGCGAGGGGAGCCAAUCCCAGAAACCCGAUCGUAGUCCGGAUCGCAGUCUGCAACUCGACUGCGUGAAGUCGGAAUCGCUUCUUAGUAAUCGCGGAUCAGCAUGUCGCGGUGAGAAUGGCAUUCCCGGGCUCCUUGUACACACCGCCCGUCACACCAUGGGAGUGGGGCUUUACCAGAGUAGUUAGCCUAACCGUAAAGGAGGGCGAUUACGGUAGGGGACCAUGACUGAGGUGAAAUAACAAGGUAA